AACGCACAUUGCGCUCGCCAGUAUUCUGGCGAGCAUGCCUGUUCGAGCGUCAUUUCAACCAUCAAGCUCUGCUUGCGUUGGGGAUCCGCGGCUGCCCGCGGUCCCUCAAAAACAGUGGCGGGCUCGCUAGUCACACCGAGCGUAGUAACUCUACAUCGCUAUGGUCGUGCGGCGGGUUCUUGCCGUGAAACCCCCAAUUUCUAAGGUUGACCUCGGAUCAGGUAGGAAUACCCGCUGAACUUAA
rnacentral:misc_RNA from 1 species